rnacentral:rRNA from 1 species
GACGAACGCUGGCGGCGUGCCUAAUACAUGCAAGUUGAGCGCUGAAGGUUGGUACUUGUACCAACUGGAUGAGCAGCGAACGGGUGAGUAACGCGUGGGGAAUCUGCCUUUGAGCGGGGGACAACAUUUGGAAACGAAUGCUAAUACCGCAUAAAAACUUUAAACACAAGUUUUAAGUUUGAAAGAUGCAAUUGCAUCACUCAAAGAUGAUCCCGCGUUGUAUUAGCUAGUUGGUGAGGUAAAGGCUCACCAAGGCGAUGAUACAUAGCCGACCUGAGAGGGUGAUCGGCCACAUUGGGACUGAGACACGGCCCAAACUCCUACGGGAGGCAGCAGUAGGGAAUCUUCGGCAAUGGACGAAAGUCUGACCGAGCAACGCCGCGUGAGUGAAGAAGGUUUUCGGAUCGUAAAACUCUGUUGGUAGAGAAGGACGUUGGUGAGAGUGGAAAGCUCAUCAAGUGACGGUAACUACCCAGAAAGGGACGGCUAACUACGU